AUGGCUGGAUAAAGGACUAUUUCCUUGGCAUUAAUUACAGUUCAAGAUGAGCAGUUUUUCCUCUAUAGCUCUUUUCUGUUUCACAGUGAAAGUAAACUGCGGUUCAAGGACACAUCCUGAAACUCAAACUUACAAGUAUUUACCUGGUGGAGACCACGCAGAGAACUUCACAGCACACAGGUGCAGCUCAGUGAACUUCACAAGGUUUGGCAAUUGUCUUCCCACUCCUCUCUACGCAUAACUGUCACAUCACUGAUUUUAAAAAUGCAGAGGAAUGACAUCACAUGUCUUCAGAGAACAGCAACAGGAUC